ACCAGAAUGGCUGAGCAGUUAAGGCAUUGGACUUAAGUUCCAAUAGACAUGUGUCUGUGUGGGUUUGAGCCCCACUUCUGGUA